CUGAGGUGUGGAGGUUUAUUGAAGAAUGCAAAACUCGUGUUUGUUUGUUAAAGAAAAAGAAUGCUGGUAGAUAGCAAAUAGUAUGACAGGGUCCAAAGUAGAACAUGCUGUGCCAAGUAUUAAAUAAGUUCAUUGCUUUUUGCAUUUAGAUCGUGGGUGUCAACUUAUCAUAGCUCAUAGCAUGCUCCAUGCCAGGCCUUGAGGGUACCUGUUUCAUUUACAGAUGCUGUUGAGGUGGAAUUUGAGGAUCUCCCAGAAAUCAUCCAGAAAGAACUUUUAACACCUGUGGAAUCCUUAAGGUAUUACUCUCCCUUUAUAAAUCAGAAACACUGAUCCUUCUCUGAUGACUGCUUCUUGCUUCUGGACUUUAGAAACCUUGAAACCUCGAGAAGUUUCUUCAGCAAACUCCCUCUAUGAAGUAAAGCUAUCAAUACUUGGCAGCCAACAUUUUCAGAUUACAAUCCCUUCAGGACUGUGCCUUUCUAGGAACCUGGGAAAGAAAACAGUUUCAACAAUGAGUAGGCCAACCAUCAGUACCAACUACAGAUGACUUGCCAUUUCCUUUUCAAAGAUGUCGUCAGCUGCUGAAAAUGGAGACGCAGCACCUGGCAAACAAAAUGAAGAAAAAACCUAUAAAAAGGUGAGUGUAUUAUUUUCUGUCUUCCCUCAAAAAGAGGACCACUACUGUUCUACUGUUUGGCACUAAUAUUGUUAUACUGAUAUUGUUACAAUA
rnacentral:lncRNA from 1 species